rnacentral:tRNA from 1 species
GGUACCAUAGCUCAGUUGGUAGAGCAACGGACUGAAAAUCCGUGUGUCGCUGGUUCGACUCCCGCUGGUACCA